UACGGAGGGGGCUAGCGUUGUUCGGAAUUACUGGGCGUAAAGCGCGCGUAGGCGGACCUGCAAGUCGGGGGUGAAAGCCCGAGGCUCAACCUCGGAACUGCCUUCGAUACUGCGGGUCUCGAGUCCGGGAGAGGUGAGUGGAAUUCCUAGUGUAGAGGUGAAAUUCGUAGAUAUUCGGAAGAACACCAGUGGCGAAGGCGGCUCACUGGUCCGGUACUGACGCUGAGGUGCGAAAGCGUGGGGAGCAAACAGGG
rnacentral:rRNA from 1 species